CCUACGGGUGGCAGCAGUGAGGAAUAUUGGUCAAUGGUCGGGAGACUGAACCAGCCAAGCCGCGUGAGGGAGGAAGGUACAGAGUAUCGUAAACCUCUUUUGUCAGGGAACAAAGACUGGGACGCGUCCCCGGAUGAGUGUACCUGAAGAAAAAGCAUCGGAAAACUCCGUGCCAGCAGCCGCGGUAAUACGGAGGAGUCGAGCGUUAUCCGGAUUUAUGGGGGUAAAAGGGUGCGCGGGCGGUCUGUUAAGUCAGCGGUCAAAGCCCGGGGUCAAACCCCGACCCGCCGGUGAAACUGGCAGUCUCGAGUGGGAGAGAAGUAUGCGGAAUGCGCGGUGUAGCGGUGAAAUGCAUAGAUAUCGCGCAGAACUCCGAUUGCGAAGGCAGCAUGCCGGCUCCACACUGACGCUGAGGCACGAAAGCGUGGGUAUCGAACAGGAUUAGAUACCCGAGUAGUC
rnacentral:rRNA from 1 species